rnacentral:misc_RNA from 1 species
UUUCGGUAUCCUGUGUUGCUUACCUAUCGAAAGGAACCCGACGGUCUCGCUCGUCCCCCUCCGCCCCCGGCCCUCGCGGGUUGUGGGGUGGACGUGAGGCACGCACCGUGUUCCCGGCAAGCCUCGUCGAGUCGCUUGGCCGCCUCGGCCCACGGUGUGCUAUGCCCGUUCUCUCGGAUGCGGAACGUCAUGCGCGGGCGUGGGGUCUGUCACAGACUCCGUUUGCCCGAGCAACGCAUUUUGUCCCUCGACGCGAACGACCGUCGUGCCCGUCUUGAGCCCGCGGCCUCACGGCCCGUCGGGCGUCAUGCGGGCGUCGGCGUCGCGAAGGAACGCUACCUGGUUGAUCCUGCCAGUAGUCAUAUGCUUGUCUCA